GCUUCCGGCACAACCACUAGCAUCCAGAAGAGUAGGUGCAUCACCCCAGAAGCAAUUUCCAAAUUUUGGUUUAACUACAUUUAGCAGCAUUUGGGGAGUUUUGCGAGCUUCCGGCACAACCACUAGCAUCCAGAAGAGUAGGUGCAUCACCCCAGAAGCAAUUUCCAAAUUUUGGUUUAACUACAUUUAGCAGUAUUUGGGAAGUUUUGCG